rnacentral:rRNA from 1 species
UACAGAGGGGGCAAGCGUUGUUCGGAAUUACUGGGCGUAAAGGGUGCGUAGGCGGUCGGGUAAGUCUGAUGUGAAAUCUCACAGCUUAACUGUGAAACUGCAUUGGAUACUAUUCGGCUUGAGAGUUGGAGGGGGGACUGGAAUUCUUGGUGUAGCAGUGAAAUGCGUAGAUAUCAAGAGGAACACCAGUGGCGAAGGCGAGUCCCUGGACAACUUCUGACGCUGAGGCACGAAAGCUAGGGGAGCAAACAGG